GCAAGGGUGAGCCUAUGUGUGCGAGGACUGUGCAUCAGAAAGGUACCACGGACCACAGAGUUCAAACCUUCUGCCCAAAGAAAUGAGCCGUACAAGUUGCUCACACACAAAAUCCCAUGGCACAGUCACUUUGGUGGUUUCCUGGCAACCAUCCGUACAGUUUUGGGAAGUCUUUUCAGAGUGGCUUUAAAAAUCACUUUUGAGUCUCACGAGAUCUGGAGGGCUCUUUUAUAAUCACUCUCCGCUAGGACCACAGGUCUCCAGGUUCCUUACCUACCUAUUGACCACUGCUGGGGAUGAAUAGUGGCUGUUUCUGUCAGUUCUUUGUUCCCAAACAAUAGUGUUCUGUGUUGUCACAGAACCAUAGCCCCUUGAUAAGUCUGUAAAGGCUUGUGUGUGUUGUUUUGUUUUGUUUUGUUUUUUUGUUUUUCGAGACGGUUUCUCUGUGUAGCCCUGUCUGUCCUGGAACUCACUUUGUAGACCAGGCUGGCCUCGAACUCAGAAAUCCACCUGCCUCUGCCUCCCAAGUGCUGGGAUUAAAGGCGUACGCCACCACCGCCCUGCUAAGGCUGUGACUUAAAGAUUAAAACAAGCUGGUUACUUUUGUGUGUAAUGGCAUUUUAAAUAUAAUGAGGGAACAGACCGGCCAGGGACUUGGUUAUAAGCCAGGCUUCUGAAGCAAGGGGAUGGGAUUUCAGAGGUGGGGGUGGGGGUAAGGGUGGGGAUGGGGGUGUCCCUUUCUUUGAAGUACUAGAUAUGCAUUUUUAGGAAAGGGCAUUACUUUGUAGCAGUUCUCCAUUCCAAUGUUGGACUGAUCAUGGCCACCCUUCCCCCUCACCCACUCUUUUUUGAGACAAGGUCUUUCUCUGCAACCAAGCUAGUGUGGACCUCACAUCCUCCUGCCUCAGCCUCCUCAGGUGCCAGAGUUUAUAAUAUAAGCAUGUGCUGCCUCAGAAGGCCUUUCAUUAGGAAUUCUUUUCCUGUCAAGAUUUUAGAUGAUAAUAAUGUGUGUAAGACUGCAAACUACUUAGCAUUCAAAGAGCGUCUUAGGACAACCUCAAAAAUACAAAACCCCAAACGAGGUGGCCACUUCUGUGAAAGAAGAUUGGGUUGGUAACCAUGACCACGUUGGCCGCAUUCGCAGGAGUCUUUUUUUUUUUUUUUUUUUUUUUUCAAACCAUGUCUGAACUCUUUAAAGAGAAAAUAAAACCAAACCUCUUGCU
rnacentral:lncRNA from 1 species